rnacentral:rRNA from 1 species
UACGAAGGGUGCAAACGUUGCUCGGAAUUAUUGGGCGUAAAGCGCACGUAGGCGGCAUAACAAGUCGGAUGUGAAAUCCCUCGGCUUAACCAAGGAAGUGCAUCCGAAACUGUUGUGCUUGAGUACUUAAGAGGAUCGCGGAAUUCCCGGUGUAGAGGUGAAAUUCGUAGAUAUCUGGAGGAACACCGGUGGCGAAGGCGGCAUCCUGGACCAAUUCUGACGCUGAGGAGCGAAAGCCAGGGGAGCAAACGGG